rnacentral:lncRNA from 1 species
AAUAACAUAACUUUAUAUCAAAUCUGCAAAACUCACCUAAAUGAUAUAUGUUUGGUAGAAUAGAACAAUUAGUUUGAGAAAAUUCAGCCACAUCACGUAAGCUUAUUUCUUUUAUUAAUUUUGUUGUUUACAAAAAUAAAAGAAGGUAUUUUAGAAUACCUCAUAUGAUUAUGAACGAUUAUUAUUAUUAUCAUUAUUAAGCUUUGAUCUUGAUCUCCUCUCUCAACGCCUUUCUCGAGCAUCGAACUAGUCAUGCGUUACGCAUUAAAGUGCCUUCACUGACCAAACAAGCUACUUGAGACAAGGCAAGCCUUGUUUCCUUUCAAACAAAUUAAACUAACAUUUCCAUCAAUUUCAA